UAAACUAGGAUUAGAUACCCUAUUAUUUUAAAUGUAAAUGUAUAAUACUAAAUUAUUAUAAGUUAUGUUCUUUAAAAUUAAAAAAUUUGGCGGUAUUUUAGUCUUUUCAGAGGAACCUGUCCUGUAAUUGAUAAUCCACGAUUAGAUUAACUUUUUUUUUUAAUUUAUAUAUCAUUGUAGCUUGAAUAUUUUUAUAGAAAUUUAAUAUUCAAAAUUUUUUAUAAAAAAAUAAAUCAGAUCAAGGUGUAGUUUAUGAAAAAGUAGAGAUGGGUUACAUUAAAUUUAUUUUAGGAUAUUUUUUUUUAAAAAAAAUUGAAUUUGGAUUUGAUAGUAAUUAUUUGAGUUUUAAAGUUAUGAUUUUAGCUCUAAAAUAUGUACACAUCGCCCGUCGCUCUUAA
rnacentral:rRNA from 1 species